CUGGCUUUACACUUCGGUCACUGCCCUCCCAGUCAUACUGUCAUUUACACCUGAGGGUGGUGUCAGUGCUCAGGGUUUGAAGCGGCCCCAGUGACUAUCUUGAGAUCCUUGGAAUGGAAGGAAAGAACUGACUCAGACUAGUAGUAUGCCUUGGGAAGACCCUCCUUCAGUCAGCCUUCCAGAUGUGAGAACAAGCAAUCAACCCGUUGGGCUCCGUGGAUGUGAUUUUUAUAUUCUGGGCCUGUCAGCUGAACACUGGAUGCCCCACUGAAAGAGAGGAACCUUGGGCAGCCAACAACAGUCUCUCUCAUUUCUACAAUUUUGGAAGCUGCUUGCUCUACACUUCCUACAUACUCAGGUUCCCAAGUUCAAGGCCAAGAUCCAGUUCUGUGUUUGAAGACUGCCGACCUCUGCCCCACUUCAGCCUGGAGCUUCAUAGGGGGCAGAAAUCUGCAUAGAUGAAUACUUACAUCGUUCUUUCCUCAUCCUCUCAAGAUUCCUCUUUCAUACCUUCCUGUGGACACGCCGAUGUGUUGUGACAAAAUACUAACAUAUACUACCACCAGUGUGUGAUCUAUCUUACGGUCCCAGCAUGCAGGAGUUGGAGGGAGAAGGAUCAAGAGUUCAGGAUCGGUGGGCUGGGGAUUUAGCUCAGUGGUAGAGCGCUUGCCUGGCAAGCGCAAGGCCCUGGGUUCGGUCCCCAGCUCCGAAAAAAAGAACCAAAAAAAAAAAAAAAGAGUUCAGGAUCGGGG